ensembl:lncRNA
AUGCCAUCUCAAAAAAGAAGAAGAGGAGGAGGAGGAGGAAAAGGUGGAGGAGAAGGAGGAGGAGGAGAAGGGGGAGGAAGAAGAGAAGGAGGAGGAAGAGGAGAAGGAGGAGGAAGAGGAGAAGGAGGAGGAAGAAGAGAAGGAGGAGGAAGAGGAGAAGGAGGAGGAGGAGAAGGAGGAGGAGGAGAAGGAGGAGGAAGAAAAGAAGGGAGAAGGAGGAGGAGAAGGAGGAGGAAGAGGAGAAGGAGGAGGAAGAAGAGGAGGAGGAGGAAGAAGAGGAGAAGGAGGAGGAAGAAGAGGAGGAGGAAGAAGAGAAGGAGGAGAAGGAGGAGGAAGAGGAGAAGGAGGAGGAAGAGGAGAUGGAGGAGGAAGAAGAGAAGGAGAAGGAAGAGGAGAAGGAGGAGGAAGAGGAGAAGGAGGAGGAAGAAGAGAAGGAGGAGGAAGAGGAGAAGGAGGAGGAAGAGGAGAUGGAGGAGGAAGAAGAGAAGGAGGAGGAAGAGGAGAAGGAGGAGGAAGAGGAGAAGGAGGAGGAAGAGGAGAAGGAGGAGGAGAAGGAGGAGGAAGAAAAGAAGGAGGAGGAAGAGGAGAAGGAGGAGGAAGAAGAGAAGGAGGAGGAAGAGGAGAAGGAGGAGGAAGAGGAGAAGGAGGAGGAGAAGGAGGAGGAAGAAGAGAAGGAGGAGGAAGAGGAGAAGGAGGAGGAGAAGGAGGAGGAAGAAAAGAAGGAGGAGGAAGAGGAGAAGGAGGAGGAGAAGGAGGAGGAAGAAAAGAAGGAGGAGGAAGAGGAGAAGGAGGAGGAGAAGGAGGAGGAAGAAGAGGAGGAACAAGAGGAGGAGGAACAAGAGGAGGAAGAAGAGAAGAAGGAGGAAGAGGAGAAGGAGGAGGAAGAAGAGAAGGAGGAGGAAGAGGAGAAGGAGGAGGAAGAAGAGAAGGAGGAGGAAGAGGAGAAGGAGGAGGAAGAAAAGAAGGAGGAGGAAGAGGAGGAGGAAGAAGAGGAGGAACAAGAGGAGGAGGAACAAGAGGAGGAAGAAGAGAAGGAGGAGGAGGAGGAAGAGGAGAAGGAGGAGGAGGAGAAGGGGGAGGAGGGGGAAAAGAGGAGGAGAAGGAGGAGGAAGGGGGGAGGAGAAGGAGGAGGGGGAAAGAAAGAGAAAGAAGAGAAAGAAAAGAAAGACAAAGAAAGAGAAGAGAAAUAAAGGAAGAAGAGAAAGAAAAAGGAAGGGGAAGCGCUUGGAUGAUUCUUUGAGUUGUACAUUGACCUCACCCCCUUUUUUUAAUGAACAUCAUUUUUACGUGAAAGAAUGA